GCCAUGUUUAAAAUACUGGUGUGUCUUUUGAUCCUUCAUUCAGAAUGAAUUUAUGCAAAUCAGCUAAUGCUAUAGAUUCUUACCUUGAUUAUUAUGUUAGGCUGUAUAAUGUGCUAUGAAGUUGAUCUUUGUGUUGCAUUCUAUGGUGUCUUUAAUCUCCACUGUUGGUCUCCUUUCAUCCUGUUUGGCUAUUUAAUAUUUUCUCUGGAACUUUAAAUCCUUUGCAUCAUAAUCACGAUUGACAAAACUCGGCAUUCCAUUUAUUUCUGAACAAAACUGAUCACUGCUG
rnacentral:misc_RNA from 1 species